rnacentral:rRNA from 1 species
AGCUCCAAUAGCGUAUAUUAAAGUUGCUGCAGUUAAAAAGCUCGUAGUUGAAUUUGUGGCGCGGCCAUCCGGCGGGGGCUCUUCAUUGAGCCCGUUUGUCCUGGUUUUUGGCCGUUCCUUUCUCGGGUAGCGUGUGGCUGGCAUUAGGUUGUUGGAUACAUUAGCAUGGAAUAAUAAGAUAGGGCCACGACGGUCUAUUUUGUUGGUUUGCACGUUGUGGUAAUGGUUAACAGGAAUAGUUGGGGGUAUUCGUAUUCAAUUGUCAGAGGUGAAAUUCUUGGAUUUGUGGAAGACGAACUACUGCGAAAGCAUUUACCAAGGAUGUUUUCA